CCUACAAGCAUUAAUUAAUUAACACCUUGUGAUAGGUAUGCUCGCCUGGGAUAUUGAAUGUAGGUGUGAUCAAUAAUGGGAUGGGGCAGGAAUCAAAGACAGACACUGCGACAUAGGGUGCUCUGGGGCCAGCGUUUCACAAUGCUAUCGCGUGCACACCCCCCAGAUUAAAAUACCAAAUGCAUGGAGAGCUCCCGUGACUGAUUAAUAGGGUAAUAGACCCGUGAUCCAUCGUGAUGUCUUAUUUAAGGGGAACGUGUGG
rnacentral:lncRNA from 1 species